AACUGUCUGGCUAGAGUACAGUAGAGGGUGGUGGAAUUUCCUGUGUAGCGGUGAAAUGCGUAGAUAUAGGAAGGAACACCAGUGGCGAAGGCGGC
rnacentral:rRNA from 1 species